CGCGGCCAAGCACUUGGUUGCCGCGGUCGUGCAGCACCUGACCGCGGCACUUGGUCGUUGACAUCAAACCCGACCCCAAACCACCCCUUUCACCCCAUUCCACCUCACCAAUCACCCUCCACCUCAUUCAUCACCUUCCACCACCUUAAUCACCACCUAAUCACCUUCCCAAACCCCUUCGAAUGAAUCCGGUUCAUCUCCACC
rnacentral:lncRNA from 1 species